GAGCCCUGCUCUAUCACUGUUUUAAUGAGAAAGAACUUCAGGUACUUCCUGACGUCAGGCUGCUGGGCAGCAUGCAGUGAAACAAACCUGUGGAGGAGGGUAGAAAAGUAGAACUUUCAUUAAGCUGUGUGAUAAAAGGUUAACAAGAGACAAUGCCUGAUGCAAGAUCACCCAGCUACCAUGACUUCUCUGGUCUGCAGAGUGCAGAACCUCUCUGGUCUGCCAGAUCCUAGUCUGAUAUUUUCACUACUGCACUACUGCACAACACUAACUUCCAUACUUUCAAGGGGAUGUGCAGGUUUGCAGUUGAUGCAGAUGACUUGAAACAUUGUAUGUCAAAUAUGUCAGUGUUACAGAAUAAAGUAAUUUUUUUCUAUUACUGCUGUAUCAUUAGCAAUGCAUAGUCAAAUUAUUCUUCCUAUUUGUACCGCUUAUCCCUGACCAAACACAUCACCCUUGGGUUGUGCAGUGACAGCCCAUUGUCAACCUUCAUCACAACAGCACAGCAGCAUUGUUGCACCAGAAAAAGACCACAGACUUCCUCAUUAAACCUUAUCUCUCCUCUCCUCCAUCAUCUCAAGAUCCCAAAAAAUAAUAGAAAUACAACUACAAAAUUGCCCUGUUUCAAGAGAAGACUGUGUAGUAUAUCUAGAGAGAUUCCAUCCUGAAUGUUAAAAGACCGAACAAAAAUAAUUUUUCUUUUCUCACCAUUCCACAUAGCCCAAACUGCAGGUUGUUGGUGUUUGGAGAGUGGUGUGCCUUACUCCAAGGUUAUCAGUCCAAUUAGCUGGUCUGAGAUCACCCUCAUUAUUUUCUUCCAGAUGCAACUGGUAUUUUAAUUGGAUAGAUUCCAGUUUUGGAGGGAGGGGGAAAGAGCUUGUUUCCAGGAUGUUCGGACCAACACAUAACCUGAUUGGUUAAUGGUGGUCAUCUGAUGUAGCUAGCUAGGGAAUAAAUUAGUUACUCAGUGUUACCAAUUAUUCCUUCUUUGUCCUUUCUUUGUCUGUGUUGAUGAUCAAACUGUAAUUUUGCUUAAUGAACUCUGCACAUGUACUGAGGACUUCUAUAGUAACUUUUCAGCAAGUAUUAUUUCUAGUAAGUUAUAUUCUGUGUUGUUUUAUUGAGUACUUGAAAUGUACCUUGUUAUUUAGAGUUCACUGUAUGCCUUUUAAUUUUCUG